rnacentral:rRNA from 1 species
GGGUUGUGAGGUUAAGCGACUAAGCGUACACGGUGGAUGCCCUGGCAGUCAGAGGCGAUGAAGGACGUGCUAAUCUGCGAUAAGCGUCGGUAAGGUGAUAUGAACCGUUAUAACCGGCGAUUUCCGAAUGGGGAAACCCAGUGUGUUUCGACACACUAUCAUUAACUGAAUCCAUAGGUUAAUGAGGCGAACCGGGGGAACUGAAACAUCUAAGUACCCCGAGGAAAAGAAAUCAACCGAGAUUCCCCCAGUAGCGGCGAGCGAACGGGGAGGAGCCCAGAGCCUGAAUCAGUGUGUGUGUUAGUGGAAGCGUCUGGAAAGGCGCGCGAUACAGGGUGACAGCCCCGUACACAAAAAUGCACAUGCUGUGAGCUCGAUGAGUAGGGCGGGACACGUGGUAUCCUGUCUGAAUAUGGGGGGACCAUCCUCCAAGGCUAAAUACUCCUGACUGACCGAUAGUGAACCAGUACCGUGAGGGAAAGGCGAAAAGAACCCCGGCGAGGGGAGUGAAAAAGAACCUGAAACCGUGUACGUACAAGCAGUGGGAGCACGCUUAGGCGUGUGACUGCGUACCUUUUGUAUAAUGGGUCAGCGACUUAUAUUCUGUAGCAAGGUUAACCGAAUAGGGGAGCCGAAGGGAAACCGAGUCUUAACUGGGCGUUAAGUUGCAGGGUAUAGACCCGAAACCCGGUGAUCUAGCCAUGGGCAGGUUGAAGGUUGGGUAACACUAACUGGAGGACCGAACCGACUAAUGUUGAAAAAUUAGCGGAUGACUUGUGGCUGGGGGUGAAAGGCCAAUCAAACCGGGAGAUAGCUGGUUCUCCCCGAAAGCUAUUUAGGUAGCGCCUCGUGAACUCAUCUCCGGGGGUAGAGCACUGUUUCGGCAAGGGGGUCAUCCCGACUUACCAACCCGAUGCAAACUGCGAAUACCGGAGAAUGUUAUCACGGGAGACACACGGCGGGUGCUAACGUCCGUCGUGAAGAGGGAAACAACCCAGACCGCCAGCUAAGGUCCCAAAGUCAUGGUUAAGUGGGAAACGAUGUGGGAAGGCCCAGACAGCCAGGAUGUUGGCUUAGAAGCAGCCAUCAUUUAAAGAAAGCGUAAUAGCUCACUGGUCGAGUCGGCCUGCGCGGAAGAUGUAACGGGGCUAAACCAUGCACCGAAGCUGCGGCAGCGACGCUGAUGCGUUGUUGGGUAGGGGAGCGUUCUGUAAGCCUGUGAAGGUGUACUGUGAGGUAUGCUGGAGGUAUCAGAAGUGCGAAUGCUGACAUAAGUAACGAUAAAGCGGGUGAAAAGCCCGCUCGCCGGAAGACCAAGGGUUCCUGUCCAACGUUAAUCGGGGCAGGGUGAGUCGACCCCUAAGGCGAGGCCGAAAGGCGUAGUCGAUGGGAAACAGGUUAAUAUUCCUGUACUUGGUGUUACUGCGAAGGGGGGACGGAGAAGGCUAUGUUGGCCGGGCGACGGUUGUCCCGGUUUAAGCGUGUAGGCUGGUUUUCCAGGCAAAUCCGGAAAAUCAAGGCUGAGGCGUGAUGACGAGGCACUACGGUGCUGAAGCAACAAAUGCCCUGCUUCCAGGAAAAGCCUCUAAGCAUCAGGUAACAUCAAAUCGUACCCCAAACCGACACAGGUGGUCAGGUAGAGAAUACCAAGGCGCUUGAGAGAACUCGGGUGAAGGAACUAGGCAAAAUGGUGCCGUAACUUCGGGAGAAGGCACGCUGAUAUGUAGGUGAAGCGACUUGCUCGUGGAGCUGAAAUCAGUCGAAGAUACCAGCUGGCUGCAACUGUUUAUUAAAAACACAGCACUGUGCAAACACGAAAGUGGACGUAUACGGUGUGACGCCUGCCCGGUGCCGGAAGGUUAAUUGAUGGGGUUAGCGCAAGCGAAGCUCUUGAUCGAAGCCCCGGUAAACGGCGGCCGUAACUAUAACGGUCCUAAGGUAGCGAAAUUCCUUGUCGGGUAAGUUCCGACCUGCACGAAUGGCGUAAUGAUGGCCAGGCUGUCUCCACCCGAGACUCAGUGAAAUUGAACUCGCUGUGAAGAUGCAGUGUACCCGCGGCAAGACGGAAAGACCCCGUGAACCUUUACUAUAGCUUGACACUGAACAUUGAGCCUUGAUGUGUAGGAUAGGUGGGAGGCUUGGAAGUGUGGACGCCAGUCUGCAUGGAGCCGACCUUGAAAUACCACCCUUUAAUGUUUGAUGUUCUAACGUUGACCCGUAAUCCGGGUUGCGGACAGUGUCUGGUGGGUAGUUUGACUGGGGCGGUCUCCUCCUAAAGAGUAACGGAGGAGCACGAAGGUUGGCUAAUCCUGGUCGGACAUCAGGAGGUUAGUGCAAUGGCAUAAGCCAGCUUGACUGCGAGCGUGACGGCGCGAGCAGGUGCGAAAGCAGGUCAUAGUGAUCCGGUGGUUCUGAAUGGAAGGGCCAUCGCUCAACGGAUAAAAGGUACUCCGGGGAUAACAGGCUGAUACCGCCCAAGAGUUCAUAUCGACGGCGGUGUUUGGCACCUCGAUGUCGGCUCAUCACAUCCUGGGGCUGAAGUAGGUCCCAAGGGUAUGGCUGUUCGCCAUUUAAAGUGGUACGCGAGCUGGGUUUAGAACGUCGUGAGACAGUUCGGUCCCUAUCUGCCGUGGGCGCUGGAGAACUGAGGGGGGCUGCUCCUAGUACGAGAGGACCGGAGUGGACGCAUCACUGGUGUUCGGGUUGUCAUGCCAAUGGCACUGCCCGGUAGCUAAAUGCGGAAGAGAUAAGUGCUGAAAGCAUCUAAGCACGAAACUUGCCCCGAGAUGAGUUCUCCCUGAC